rnacentral:sRNA from 1 species
UGACCCUUCUUAAGCCGAGGGUCACCUAGCCAACUGACGUUGUUAGUGAACUUAAUUUUGUUCACAAAUAUAUAAACCAGUCGCACCUCUUGCGGUUGGUUUUUUUUUG